rnacentral:misc_RNA from 1 species
CGAUUUUGUAACUUAAGCUUUAGAGACCUGUUUAGAGUAAAAACUUUCCUCAAUAAGGAUAAAGAUAAGUCUAAAGUAGAAGUAUAAGAAGAAAAUGAGAAAAUAGCUAAUUUGAAUAAUGUCGAAUAUUUGAAGGACCGUUUUGUAAUUAGUUCUGUUAAACUUGAAAUGACUUUUUAAAGAGUGUGUUUUUUGAAUAAUGCGUUAAUAUUUGAAUAGUAGGUAUUUCAGAAGGUUAAUGAAAUUCAAUUUACAAAAUAGCUUAAACGGAGGUUGGGCACAGCAGGAGUUAUCCUGCUCGACUGGGGUAGUGCCUCAACCUUACAAAAGAUCACAGCUG